rnacentral:tRNA from 1 species
GUCAUUAGCUCAGCUGGGAGAGCACCUCCCUUACAAGGAGGGGGUCGGCGGUUCGAUCCCGUCAUCACCCACCA